CACACAUACACCACACACAGACACACCAACACACCACACACACCCCACACACACACUGUACCCAGAUAGCACACAUGCCCCACACAGCACACACACACCCACACACACACCAUACACAUCGUGCACACUCCACAUACCACACACACUACAUACCACACAGUACACAUAUACCACACCGCACACACACCACACCACAUAUGGCACACACACACACACCACACACACCACACACACACUAUACCCACACAGCACACACACACUGUACACACAGACACACCACACA
rnacentral:lncRNA from 10 species